AACGAACGCUGGCGGCAUGCCUAACACAUGCAAGUCGAACGAGACCUUCGGGUCUAGUGGCGCACGGGUGCGUAACGCGUGGGAACCUGCCCUUAGGUUCGGAAUAACUCCCCGAAAGGGGUGCUAAUACCGGAUAAUGUCUUCGGACCAAAGAUUUAUCGCCUUGGGAUGGGCCCGCGUUGGAUUAGCUAGUUGGUAGGGUAAAAGCCUACCAAGGCGACGAUCCAUAGCUGGUCUGAGAGGAUGAUCAGCCACACUGGGACUGAGACACGGCCCAGACUCCUACGGGAGGCAGCAGUGGGGAAUAUUGGACAAUGGGCGAAAGCCUGAUCCAGCAAUGCCGCAUGAGUGAUGAAGGCCUUAGGGUUGUAAAGCCCUUUUACCCGGGAUGAUAAUGACAGUACCGGGAGAAUAAGCUCCGGCUAACUCCGUG
rnacentral:rRNA from 1 species